rnacentral:lncRNA from 1 species
UGGUGGUUGAUAGUGUGAACGCUCUCCGACGUCUUCAAGAUCCCGACUAUUCUUGAUAAUACUAUAUGAAAGAAAAAGAAAUAAAAGAAGUAAGCAUAAAACAUAGUAAGUUUACAAGUAAAUAAAAAACAACAUUUAACAUAAAUAAUGAUAUGCAAGUAUCAUGUUCUUAAGUUUCCUCUUUACUUACUCUCAUUUACUUGUUUAUUUACUUACCUAUUUAGAUAGCUUAAGAUUACAACUUACUCUUCUCUUGAUGAAAUAUUGGUUCUCACUGAUAUCAUAACAUAUUCUUAACUCUUAUAACUCACCUGAAGUUGCUAAUUAUACUUUUACUUGAACUUCCAUAGAACAUAAUCUGUUUUCUAGCCCGUUGAGCCAAAAUGGAAUAAUAAGGAUACUUGGGUCUCAUAUCUAAUAAUGACAUGCCAAAGCCAUGUCCCAGACAUGAUCUUACAUGGGAUGUUUCCUGUACUGCCAAUGCCAUAUCCUGCCCAUGCCAUGUCCUAAACAUGGUCUUACGGGGGACCUCUCAUCUCGGUGCCAACGUCAUGUCCCAGACAUGGUCUUACAUAGGACCUCUUAUCUCGGUGCCAACGCCAUGUCCCAGACAUGGUCUUACAUGGGAUCUCUUUACCCAAAUGUUAUGACAUUUGUAUCCAAUACACUCCUAAUGUUUUAACUGGGCUUUUUAACACUGAUUCUCUGUCAUAUCAUACUUGAGUCAACAUUAAAUAAAUUCAUGAAAUAAAUAUAUAAUUGUUGGAAAAUAACAACAUUAAUAAUAAUUAUUAAAAUAUUGCAUUUAUUUACCGUAAACUUACCUCGGUACAAAAUUUGACCAAAUCUAGCAACUUAGUCCUCUAUCUUUUUCUUUCCCCGGUCUAACACUGAAUUUCGUUUUUCUUGAUUAUGGAGCUUGGAAGCUUGAAAACCCUAACUAUGGCUUCCCCCUUGCUAUUUUCGUUCACCAUGGAGAAG